AUCAGGCUGAUGAGUCGCAAAUGGGACGGAACGCGAGUCCUGGAU
rnacentral:hammerhead_ribozyme from 1 species